rnacentral:sRNA from 1 species
CGACCACCAUCUUGCUAACUCCCGAGAGGAAGUUCCACAGCUUCGGGUAUGCCGCCAGGGACUUUUACCAUGACCUGGAUCCCAAUGAGGCCAAGCAGUGGCUGUACCUGGAGAAGUUCAAGAUGAAGCUGCACACCACUGGGGACCUCACCAUGGAUACAGACCUGACGGCAGCAAAUGGCAAGAAAGUCAAAGCCCUUGAAAUCUUUGCUUAUGCCCUGCAGUACUUUAAGGAGCAGGCGCUGAAGGUAGGACUGAUAGUUGAGGCCAGCCAGCUGUGUGCUAGGCGGUGGCACCCGUGCCAGCUCCAUGUCUCGGGCUGCUGCACCUGCUGGCCAGGGUAGGAGGCACAGCCUGGAGGGAGAGUGUGGGCUUUGGAGUCAACACAGCAAGAUGAACCCUCACAUGCUGCUGGUGGGGAAGUAAAACGGUGCGGCCUCUUUGGAAAACAGUUUGGCAAUUCCUAAAAAAGUAAAGCACAGAGUUACCGUAGGACCCAGCAGCUCCACUCCUGGGUGGAUCCCUAAGAGAAAUGAAAGAAGAUGUCCACACUCACACGUAUACGUGAAUGUGCAUAGCAACGUUAUUCAUAACUAUGAAAAGUGGAAACAGUCCACAUGCUGUCCACACAAACACACGUAUACGUGAAUGUGCAUAGCAACAUUAUUCGCAACAACGAA